GAACGCUGGCGGCAUGCCUAAGACAUGCAAGUCGAACGAGAUGGCCUUUGAAAACUGCGUACUUGUACAAAGUUGGAUUAAGAUUUCCAUCUAGUGGCAGACGGUGAGUAAUACAUAAGUAAUCUACCUCAGAGACUGGGAUAACGUUUGGAAACGAACGCUAAUACCGGAUGAUUCUUCUUACACAAGUAAGAAAGCUAAAAGGAGCGUUUGCUUCACUUUGAGAUGAGCUUAUGGCGUAUUAACUAGUUGGUGGGGUAAUGGCCUACCAAGGUGACGAUGCGUAGCCGAACUGAGAGGUUGAUCGGCCACAUUGGGACUGAGACACGGCCCAAACUCCUACGGGAGGCAGCAGUUAGGAAUAUUCGUCAAUGGGGGGAACCCUGAACGAGCAAUGCCGCGUGAGUGAUGACGGUCUUUAUGAUUGUAAAACUCUGUUGUGAGGAAAGAACCCUUAUCAUAGGAAAUGAUGAUAAGCUGACGGUACCUUACCAGAAAGCCCCGGCUAACUACGUGCCAGCCGCCGC
rnacentral:rRNA from 1 species